UGGGAGUUGUCUUCAUCCCAAGAUGGCUUCU
rnacentral:piRNA from 1 species